UUACCGCGGCUGCUGGCACGGAGUUAGCCGGAGCUUCUUCUGCAGCUAACGUCAAAUCCAUACGCUAUUAACGCAUGAACCUUCCUCACUGCUGAAAGUACUUUACAACCCGAAGGCCUUCUUCAUACACGCGGCAUGGCUGCAUCAGGCUUGCGCCCAUUGUGCAAUAUUCCCCACUGCUGCCUCCCGUAGGAGUCUGGACCGUGUCUCAGUUCCAGUGUGGCUGAUCAUCCUCGCAGACCAGCUAGGGAUCGUUGCCUUGGUGAGCCCUUACCUCACCAACUAGCUAAUCCCACCUGGGCAUAUCCUGACGCGAGAGGCCCGAAGGUCCCCCUCUUUGAGCCGAAGCUAUUAUGCGGUAUUAGCCAUCGUUUCCAAUGGUUAUCCCCCACAUCAGGGCAAUUUCCCAGGCAUUACUCACCCGUCCGCCGCUCGACGCCCAACAAAUCACCCGAAGGGUCAAUGUUGUCGUUUCCGCUCGACUUGCAUGUGUUAGGCCUGCCGCCAGCGUUCAAUCUGAGCCAUGAUCAAACUC
rnacentral:rRNA from 1 species